rnacentral:lncRNA from 1 species
CAGCGCCUCCUCCGUCAAUCCGCCGAUCCGUCGUCUCCGGCACCGGCCGCCAUGUCCGGGGGCUCGGGGUGAGUCCCCGCGUCCCAUUCCCGGCGUUAGGACCCCGAGGAGCGACCCCCCCCCGUCGAGCUCGUCCUCGUCAACGGGGCGAACCGGGCGAACUUCUUCCCUGCUUCGGUCUACGUCGGAGGAGCUUCUUCGGCGUCUUCUUCCCCGGUCCGGCGCUCCUCCUCCCCGUUCGGCGCCCCAUCUUCUCCCAAGGUGAGGCCACGCGUCCCCCUUCCUUCCUCCUCCGCGGAGCGGCUCGGACCUCCGUCGUGUGCGUGCGUUCUCUGUUCGUGGCAGCAGCAAGUUAGAUGAUGCGGUCGUAGCGGCUGUUCUGCAAGUAACGCGUUCUUGGGGGUGCCGCGCAGAGGAGGGCUUCCUCCCCCCUCGCAGCAGCAGCGCCGUGGUUAUGGGAACCACCUCGUCGCCGAUUAUGUGGCCUCCUGUUGCCUCGGUCGCGGUAGACGCAGAGCGACAGCGUAGUGUUGGUGCGGUUCCUCCGUCAGUCUAGGGCGCCAUGCGGGCGUGCUCUAGCAACAGCGGCGGUUCCUUCCCGAGUAGGUGGCUGUUCGUCGUGUGCAAGAGCUCGUCGCCGGCAGCGCAACUAGCAACGUCGGCUAGGAUAGCCGUCAGGUUCCCUGUCUCCGUCGUUCCCAGUAGACAGGCAGAGGGCGAUUUCAGGUAUUUAUUCCUGUAUGAGAAUCCCCCUCUGUCAGAUACCCCUCCGUAGCCCGAUGGUAGUGUUGUGCUGGCAUAAACUUGCGCCUGUAGGAGUGCGUGGGUUCGAGUCCCCCCUUGGCGCCUUUUUGUUUGUUUUCCUCGAUUAUUUCGGGUCAGUGAGAGUGCAGGCAGCUUACCUUGCAUAUCUCUCUUCUCCUGUCAACAAGUAGCGUCGUAGCGCCGUGUCGUGGGUGUGUGGUGCUGGACACCAGGGGUCUGGGUUCGAAUCCCAGCAGCCCUGUUUUUUUUUUAAUUUUUUUUUGCAAUCUUUUCUUUUUCCUGCCUACUUAUUUCCUGUUUUCCUAACUCCUACACUUGUGUCUUAUCAGUUUUGUCCCCUGUUGUUUUUUAUUUUAAAAACUCCUACGCAGUGGUGAUUGCUCCUGUUCCUGCUAGAAUGGUGGAAUAGAUAUAGUUGUGAGUAUGUUUUGCACACUAGGGGUGAUAAAUAUUAUUGCUAGCUUGUGAUGUUUAUAGUGGUUGUACCUUAGUGAAGAGGAGCCAACCUUGUUAAGGGCAUGGUGCUAGAUGCCUUGACAAAUAUGGGUGUAGUGUUUGGAGGUGAUCAGUUGCCCUAGCUAAUCUUGCAAAGCCCUAGCUUGUGAACUUUGGUGUGGGCUAAGUUGAACUUGUAGCUUUAUUGUUUUGCAUGGAGUUACUUUGAUGUGGGUGCCUCCCCCUCAUCACAUGUUUUGGUGUGAUGUGAAGAUCUAGGUGACUAUCCACGCUAGUGUGUGAAGGUGUGGAUGUUGUGGUGGUUGCAUAUAGAGGAUGACAUGAUUACUAGGAAGAUCCUAGUGAUGCUUGUGAGAGUGUGCACCAUCACAUGCCCAUAUGUGGGGGUGUGCUUACCCUCUUGUUAGUUUAAAGAUUUCUUUUGUGUGAGCUUGAUGCUAGUGCUUGAGAGGAAUUGUGUGGGUUGGUGUUGUCGAUGUGCAUGACACAAACAUGGGGUUCAAACCCCCAUGUCACUUUGUCAUUGUGCACAUGAAACCCUCCUAUGUAUUGUCAUCUUAGAAGAAUACCUUAUGGAUUUGCAUUUUUCAUUUUGUUGAAAGUUUGGGCUUUGUUUCCAUGAUAUAGAUGGAGCCCAAAGGCAUGGAUCUUGGUGUGUUAGUUGUAGGGGUUUGUGCUCAAUACCAUAGUGGUGUCAAACACCUCUUGGGAACUUGUGUGUGCAAACUAUGCCUAGACAAAGUGGGCAUGUGGUUGGGAAAUUCCAGAUUUUUGAACUCUGAAAAUUUCACUAAGUCUGGGAUGCUGAAAACAUUUUCUUCCCCUGUAGACAAGGUUGUUCUGGUCAUUAUGUUGAGAACUGGACUUAGUUCAGUGCUAGUGUUUUGAACCUGAGAUGUUUGUGAAGCUUCCUGUCAAUUUUCAAGUCAUUUGGAUUCCAGUAGCUUGUGUUUUGGUUGCUGUUAAAAGGCUUCAGAACAGAAACAGAAACUCAGGUGCAGGAAUUUUCACUAAGUCCCUGAGGACUGAUGGUUUUGGGAAAGUUUUUGGCCUUGUAUCUUCUAGAGUUUAAUUAAUUUUGCUGUGAUUAUUGCUGGAGAUUGUAGUGUUCUUGGUUGGCAACAGCCACAUAUAUUAUUUGUCAUAUUUGAAGACCUGUAGCUAUGUUGCAUGUGGCUCACAAACAGCUAAGAUGCAGAAACUGGCAGAUUGCGUAGUUUUGCCAUUUUGUUCAAAGUUUGUGUUCAGUUGUUGUUGGGGUGUUCUACCUUGCUCCAUUUCAUUCAUGUUGGGUUAAUAUAUGUCUUGGCAACCUGGGAACACCAGAUUUGUGCCAAUUGUGUGUGUGGUGAUGAAUCUUUCACGUAGAGCUUCAUAUCGUGUUUCGUUGAUUCCCGUUGAUCCGUAGCUCCGUUUGCAAAGUUCUUUAUAUGGUUUUGCACCAGUUUUACAAGGUGCAUAUGUUCAUAUAAUUCCCAUGCAUGUCCAAAUAGUUUAGUGCAAAGUUCUGUCCAGGAACUUGUUGUAGUUUAUCUUGCUGGUGCUAGUGUUAGAAAUAGUGGUGCAUGCUCAACUUUCAUCUCAUGCAUCAUGUGAUUGUUGCAUUUUGUGGUGCUGCUGUUCAUUGGCUGUUAUUUUUGUGUUGGGUAGCACCGGGAGCGGAGACCGAUUACGUGGAGUCAGGAGAGUACGUGCAGGACGAUCCAGAACCAUUCCAAGCUGAGGAUAUCACAGGCAAGAUGACAUGACCUUGAUCCCAUAUCUAGACUUGUUAUGUUAGUUUCGAUUCCACGUCAUAUUGCUCGCUGCCUACCACUGAAAAUAUAUUGCCUCUUCAUAUUCCAUGAGCCUAAACACCUUACUCCUUCCUAGCAAACUUGCAUGGCUAGGUAGGCUUGCUCAGCUACUAAUGUUAGCAUUGUUAGUUGCAGGUGAUUAUAACUCAUGAGUUGUCAUGAGCUUGAUAUCAUUAUAUUAAUUUAUGUUAUUAAAUUAAUGUAUCUAUAUACUUGGUAAAUGACGGGAGGCCUAGCCUUUUGUCGGGUGUCUUGUUCCGUUAUUGCCGCCUUAGUUACCGGUUACCGGUGUUUGAUUCCAUAAUGAUCGCUCCUAACACGUUCGGGGUUGUUAUGGGGACCCCCUUGAUAAAUCGCGUGGUGUUAAGGCUUGUCCGGCAGGACCCAACUUUGGUACUAUUUGCUAAUCACCUAAUAAUAAUCUGCAUAGGGAAUAGCUACCCCGAGGAUUCUAAUCAACAACCCGGGCCAGUGCUCCUCAUGAGUGUUGGUCCAAACUGGUCUGCCUGCGGGGCCACCACAAGGAAACUUGAGGUUUGGCACCUGUAGCUAGUUCCAUCCGGCGUGUCCUGAGACUGAGAUACGCAGCUCUUAUCGGGGUCGUCGACACGUCGGGAGGUCCUGCUAGUCUUGUCUUGCCUUAGCGGUAUAUCUUGCGUAUAGGAAUCCCGGUGAAGCUUUGGUUUUCUCCAAAGUUGAGGUUUUCCCUCUAAGGAAUCCGACGAGAUCACGAGAUUCGUGAUAGAGGAUGCCUUUAGGGCCUGUGUUCGUUUGUGAUGGACUAGUUGGAGCACCCCUGCAGGGUUUAAUCUUUCGGAAGCCGUGCCCACGGUUAUGUGGUAACUUGGAAUAUUUUGUUAACAUCCGGUAUUAGAAAACUUAAACAUAAACUAAUAAAAUAUGCCAACUGUGUGCGUAACCGUGACUGUCCCUUCGAAGAUCUCUCUUCGAUCCGGAACACGGUGGGGUUAUGAAUGCCGUAGGUAGGGGUUCAGGAUCACUUUCUGAUCAAGUUUUCACGAUCGUUAGUAUAGAACACUGUCACUUCUCCUUUGCGUAAGCUAGCCACUUAUUCAACCUUAGGGUGCAGCAGCCUGAAACACUUCACCCCUUCCUUACCCAAUAACAUGACUAGAUCUGACACCAAGGUCUUAGAUUGCUGAGUCCCCGUGGCUCACGGAUUCCUCCGAAACUCCCAGCAGGUACAGGUAUCCCAGAGGCAGAUGAUCCCGACGGCACCCAGCUGGCGUGGCAGUACGACGAGGAGACAAAUCGCCUUUACGUGAACUAUCCAGAGGACUGAGCCGUGGUCGUGAUCGUGGGCCUGCAGCGGGUAGCAUAGCAUUU